rnacentral:lncRNA from 1 species
UUCCUGGAAUUAUUGCAGUUCAGCUGCAGAGCAGAGAUAACAUGGAUUCCCAGGAUCCCAGUUUUACAUCUGCAUAUGUUCUGCAAAGAAGUCAAGGGAGAAGCUGUCCCACUCCACGCUCAUAUCCAGUGUUAUGUCAUCAAAAGCUCUGAUGUCUGCAAGGAUCAGAGGUAUUAGAGUGGAGUGGAGCUCAAGCGGAGCUGAGCUUGGUUCCAGGAAGAGACUCCGAUUACUCCUGCACAGAACCUGUACUCCAUCAACUAAGGGAGUUUUGUCCUAAGGAUACUGCAUUACCAAUGAAUGCAGUCUUUGCUCCAAAAAUUCUCUUUGGAGAAGGAACUAAGCAGCCAUGAAGGAGAGAAAAAAGGAUGUAAAAGGACUCAAAACCACAACACCUAAUUGCAUUGAAUACGCAGACGUAGCCAGGAUCAGAGUAUGGAAUGACACCUUCACUUUCCUCAGUCUUCUGCCACAGGAACCUCAUCAGAUUCAUAGAAAUUGCUCCAGGUUAGCAUAGGUCUGGUAUCUCCACUGGUCUGAUAUCUGGGUUAGGCUACUGACCUCAGUAGCAGUUAAGAUCUCUUUGGGAAGAUUGCUUUGAAGAUACCAUGUGAGGCACUCAAGUGCCAUAGAAAAAGAUCUUUUUUCUCCUCAAAGUGCGCAAGGCCAUUAACUUGUUCUACAGUGC